rnacentral:rRNA from 1 species
GGAAUAUUGGGCAAUGGGGGGAACCCUGACCCAGCAACGCCGCGUGAGGGAAGAAGGUUUUCGGAUCGUAAACCUCUGUCCUAUGUGAAGAGGAAGAGACGGUAGCAUAGGAGGAAGCCCCGGCUAACUACGUGCCAGCAGCCGCGGUAAUACGUAGGGGGCGAGCGUUGUCCGGAAUGAUUGGGCGUAAAGGGCGCGUAGGCGGCCUUUUAAGUCUGAAGUGAAAGUCCUGGUUUUAAGUUGGGAAUUGCUUUGGAUACUGGAAGGCUUGAGUGCAGGAGAGGUAAGUGGAAUUCCCAGUGUAGCGGUGAAAUGCGUAGAGAUUGGGAGGAACACCAGUGGCGAAGGCGACUUACUGGACUGUAACUGACGCUGAGGCGCGAAAGUGUGGGGAGCAAACA